GACGAACGCUGGCGGCGUGCUUAACACAUGCAAGUCGAACGGAAAGGCCCUGCUUUUGUGGGGUGCUCGAGUGGCGAACGGGUGAGUAACACGUGAGUAACCUGCCCUUGACUUUGGGAUAACUUCAGGAAACUGGGGCUAAUACCGGAUAGGAGCUCCUGCUGCAUGGUGGGGGUUGGAAAGUUUCGGCGGUUGGGGAUGGACUCGCGGCUUAUCAGCUUGUUGGUGGGGUAGUGGCUUACCAAGGCUUUGACGGGUAGCCGGCCUGAGAGGGUGACCGGCGACAUUGGGACUGAGAUACGGCCCAGACUCCUACGGGAGGCAGCAGUGGGGAAUAUUGCACAAUGGGCGGAAGCCUGAUGCAGCAACGCCGCGUGCGGGAUGACGGCCUUCGGGUUAUAAACCGCUUUCGCCUGUGACGAAGCGUGAGUGACGGUAAUGGGUAAAGAAGCACCGGCUAACUACGUG
rnacentral:rRNA from 1 species